GAUGAAGAACGUAGCGAAAUGCGAUACGUAGUGUGAAUUGCAGAAUUCAGUGAAUCAUCGAAUCUUUGAACGCACAUUGCACCUCUCGGUAUUCCGGGAGGUAUGCCUGUCCGAGCGUCAUUGCUGCCCUCAAGCCCGGCUUGUGUGUUGGGUCUCGUCCCCCUUCCCGGGGGGACGGGCCCGAAAGGCAGCGGCGGCACCGUGUCCGGUCCUCGAGCGUAUGGGGCUUUGUCACCCGCUCUGUAGGCCCGGCCGGCGCUUGCCGAUCAACCAAAACUUUUUUCCAGGUUGACCUCGGAUCAGGUAGGGAUACCCGCUGAACUUAAGCAUAUCAAUAAGCGGAGGA
rnacentral:misc_RNA from 1 species